AAUGAACGUUGGCGGCGUGGAUUAGGCAUGCAAGUCGAACGGGCCGCAAGGCCAGUGGCGGAAGGGUGAGUAAUGCGACGGUAACCAACCCCGGAAAUGGGUAUAGCCGCGGGAAACUGCGGGUAAUCCCCAGCGACGUGUCGGGUCGGCAUCGACCUGACACCAAAGCUCCGGCGUUCCGGGACGGGCCGUUGUGGUAUUAGCUAGUUGGCGGGGUAACGGCCCACCAAGGCUGCGAUGCCUACCGGGCGUGCGAGCGUGGCCCGGCACACUGGGACUGAGACACUGCCCAGACGCCUACGGGAGGCUGCAGUCGAGAAUCUUCGGCAAUGGGCGCAAGCCUGACCGAGCGACGCCGCGUGGAGGACGAAGGCCUUCGGGUUGUAAACUCCUGUCGAGGGGGAGGAAGGCGUAAGCUUGACCGAUCCCUGGAGGAAGCACGGGCUAAGUUCGUGCCAGCCGCCGCCGUAACAC
rnacentral:rRNA from 1 species